rnacentral:lncRNA from 1 species
UUAGGGUUUGGUGUGAGGAAGAAGAUGAACGCGUGUCAUCUUAUGAACCCUUGGAUCAUUCAUUUUUGUUUUAAUCUCGGUUGUCCAUUCCCUUUUGUCUUCUAAUCACUUAAGUGGAGUUGCCCUAUUGAUAUAAGUUUACAUGCUCUUUAAAAUUAAAAUGUUAUUUCAUCCUUGUCACGCCAGAUUUAAUUAUUGUUUGGACUGGGCCAGCGCCA